rnacentral:rRNA from 1 species
CCCUUAGAUGUCCUGGGCCGCACGCGCGUUACACUGAUGCAUUCAACGAGCUUAUAACCUUGGCCGAGAGGCCUGGGCAAUCUUGUUAACGUGCAUCGUGAUAGGGAUAGAUUAUUGAAAUUAUUAAUCUUGAACGAGGAAUUCCUAGUAAACGCAGAUCAUCAAUCUGCAUUGAUUACGUCCCUGCCCUUUGUACACACCGCCCGUCGCACCUACCGAUUGGAUGGUCCGGUGAAGCCUCGGGAUUGUGGUUCUUGCCGCUUUAUUGUAGCGUGACCGCGAGAACUUGUCUAAACCUUAUCAUUUAGAGGAAGGUGAAGUCGUAACA